GCUUUGUUAGCUCAGUUGGUAGAGCGUAAGUCUCAUGUGUACUUAUUUAAUAGCGUCAUCUGAAGGUCGAGAGUUCUAGCCUCUCACACGUAGCA